AUACCUGCGCCCCGAGUGGCGGGCACUAUUAUUGGGUCUAAAGCGGCCGUAGCCGGGCUGGUAAGCCCCCGGUUAAAUCCAGCCGCUCAACGGCUGGAUUGCUGGGGGGUACUGCCAGCCUUGGGACCGGGAGAGGCGGGGGGUACUACCGGGGUAGGGGUGAAAUCCUUUAAUCCCGGUGGGACCGCCAGUGGCGAAGGCGCCCCGCCAGAACGGGUCCGACGGUGAGGGCCGAAGGCCAGGGGAGCAAACAGGAUUAGAAACCCUAGUAGUCC
rnacentral:rRNA from 1 species